rnacentral:rRNA from 1 species
UACGAAGGGUGCAAACGUUGCUCGGAAUUAUUGGGCGUAAAGCGCACGUAGGCGGCAUUGCAAGUCGGAUGUGAAAUCUUAUGGCUUAACCAUAAAAGUGCAUCCGAAACUGCAGUGCUUGAGUACUUAAGAGGAUCGUGGAAUUCCCGGUGUAGAGGUGAAAUUCGUAGAUAUCGGGAGGAAAACCAGUGGCGAAGGCGGAGAUCUGGGAAGAUACUGACGCUGAGGUGCGAAAGCGUGGGGAGCAAACAGG